UUCAUUGACCACUUCGAUGGAACUUUUAUCACUCUUCUUAUCUUUACGGCUUAUCGUUUUUUGCUUCAAACUCCUAAAUUGCAUGAGUCACAGAAAGAGAAUUGUGAAUAAAUAUUUUUUAUAAGAAUAUUUUUCCCUGCUCAUAAUGCCUAUCAUUGACUUGAAGCAGCGUUGAUAAGGUUGGGAAAUUCGUCAGCAGUGAUCGAGAGAUCGCUGGAAAUGGUUAGAAAGCCUGAAAAACUUGGAGUUCUUUGUUCCGUUGAGCGAACUUUGUAAUUAGUAUUGAUAAAGCAAUUGAAACACGCAGAACGUGCGCUCGUAAUAACUUCUUAUCUGUCUUCGCUUUCUCCGGCGACACAAAUUCAACAAUAAAAUAGCAGUGAAACACCAUCGUUCGACCACGGAAGGUUCGCAAAUGACGUACAGCUGGGGAAGUUUAAACGUAUACGUAGAGGACCUUGACAUGAGAAAAGUAGAGCGAUGAAAGCGCGACUAUUACGACUGACCGAGAGACUUUUGUGCGAGAGACAAGCUGUUGUAUAAUCAGAGACCCUGCUAUAAUCAACUUCAACUGGUUUGCUUUAUGGUUGCUGAUCAAAACGCGAGGUGGCGUCGUGCAUGCUCGGAUGGCGCUAUUCGCCUCAAACUUGUGUGGUUAUUCAAGAAAACUGUCAACACUUUUACCUUCGGGGUUCAGCCUGCUCGAUCCUUAACUCGGAACGCAGAUUGCCGCUUUUCGAAAAAGAACAGAAAAAUAAUGCGUUAUUAAAGAUAAUUGAUCGUUGGUGUUUGCAGUUAUUCAAUGUAACAAUAAUCAUUCAGUGAAUAUUAAUGUUCAACAGUCCACGAUAAUAAAACCCCAAAAAAUCCUA